rnacentral:rRNA from 1 species
AGAGUUUGAUCCUGGCUCAGGACGAACGCUGGCGGCGUGCCUAAUACAUGCAAGUAGAACGCUGAAGAGAGGAGCUUGCUCUUCUUGGAUGAGUUGCGAACGGGUGAGUAACGCGUAGGUAACCUGCCUUGUAGCGGGGGAUAACUAUUGGAAACGAUAGCUAAUACCGCAUAACAAUGGAUGACACAUGUCAUUUAUUUGAAAGGGGCAAUUGCUCCACUACAAGAUGGACCUGCGUUGUAUUAGCUAGUAGGUGAGGUAAUGGCUCACCUAGGCGACGAUACAUAGCCGACCUGAGAGGGUGAUCGGCCACACUGGGACUGAGACACGGCCCAGACUCCUACGGGAGGCAGCAGUAGGGAAUCUUCGGCAAUGGGGGCAACCCUGACCGAGCAACGCCGCGUGAGUGAAGAAGGUUUUCGGAUCGUAAAGCUCUGUUGUAAGUCAAGAACGGGUGUGAGAGUGGAAAGUUCACACUGUGACGGUAGCUUACCAGAAAGGGACGGCUAACUACGUGCCAGCAGCCGCGGUAAUACGUAGGUCCCGAGCGUUGUCCGGAUUUAUUGGGCGUAAAGCGAGCGCAGGCGGUUUGAUAAGUCUGAAGUUAAAGGCUGUGGCUCAACCAUAGUUCGCUUUGGAAACUGUCAAACUUGAGUGCAGAAGGGGAGAGUGGAAUUCCAUGUGUAGCGGUGAAAUGCGUAGAUAUAUGGAGGAACACCGGUGGCGAAAGCGGCUCUCUGGUCUGUAACUGACGCUGAGGCUCGAAAGCGUGGGGAGCGAACAGGAUUAGAUACCCUGGUAGUCCACGCCGUAAACGAUGAGUGCUAGGUGUUGGAUCCUUUCCGGGAUUCAGUGCCGCAGCUAACGCAUUAAGCACUCCGCCUGGGGAGUACGACCGCAAGGUUGAAACUCAAAGGAAUUGACGGGGGCCCGCACAAGCGGUGGAGCAUGUGGUUUAAUUCGAAGCAACGCGAAGAACCUUACCAGGUCUUGACAUCCCGAUGCUAUUUCUAGAGAUAGAAAGUUACUUCGGUACAUCGGUGACAGGUGGUGCAUGGUUGUCGUCAGCUCGUGUCGUGAGAUGUUGGGUUAAGUCCCGCAACGAGCGCAACCCCUAUUGUUAGUUGCCAUCAUUCAGUUGGGCACUCUAGCGAGACUGCCGGUAAUAAACCGGAGGAAGGUGGGGAUGACGUCAAAUCAUCAUGCCCCUUAUGACCUGGGCUACACACGUGCUACAAUGGUUGGUACAACGAGUUGCGAGUCGGUGACGGCGAGCUAAUCUCUUAAAGCCAAUCUCAGUUCGGAUUGUAGGCUGCAACUCGCCUACAUGAAGUUGGAAUCGCUAGUAAUCGCGGAUCAGCACGCCGCGGUGAAUACGUUCCCGGGCCUUGUACACACCGCCCGUCACACCACGAGAGUUUGUAACACCCGAAGUCGGUGAGGUAACCUUUUGGAGCCAGCCGCCUAAGGUGGGACAGAUGAUUGGGGUGAAGUCGUAACAAGGUA